rnacentral:rRNA from 1 species
UACGUAGGGGCAAGCGUUGUCCGGAUUUAUUGGGCGUAAAGAGCGUGUAGGCGGCUUUACAGGUCCGUUGUGAAACUCGAGGCUCAACCUCGAGACGCCGGUGGAAACCGUAAAGCUAGAGUCCGGGAGAGGAGAGUGGAAUUCCUGGUGUAGCGGUGAAUGACGCAGAUAUCAGGAAGAACACCCGUGGCGAAAGCGGCUCUCUGGAACGGUACUGACGCUGAGACGCGAAAGCGUGGGGAGCGAACAGG